AAGUGGUUGUGUCUGUGAUACCCACUCAAAGCAGGGGGAACAAUGUCGUCAUCCACCACAGUGAGCUCUGUUCACUGAGACCACACCGUUGGCUAACAGGAGAGGUCAUUGAGUGCCUCCUACAUCACACCGCCUAUCGUCUUAAAUUGGAAAGUACAAUAUAUGUGAUGAACCAUUUUACGGCUGGUGUGAUCCUCUUCGGGGACAGAGAAACCAUGAGGAGGCAGAGUUUGUCAAAGGUCAACUUUGACAACUACAAAGGCCUGGUUUCCUGUGUAAACAUUCAAAAUACGCACUGGAAACUUCUGUACAUCAAUGUAGCACAGAGUAGUGUGUACCUUAUCGAUCCGAUGCGCAACAACAAGGAUCUGGAGACAUCCAAAGAAGCUGCAGAAAAAUUCUGU